rnacentral:misc_RNA from 1 species
AACGCACGAGACCUGCGGACCUGCGGAGGGAUCAUUAAAGAGUUGCAAGACUCCCAAACCAUUGUGAACGUUACCCACACCGUUGCUUCGGCGGGCGGCCCGGGCCCUGCCCGGCGCCCCCCGGCCCCUCGCGGGCGCCCGCCGGAGGUAAACCAAACUCUUGAAUUGUAUGGCCUCUCUGAGUCUUCUGUACUGAAUAAGUCAAAACUUUCAGCAACGGAUCUCUAGAUCGGAAGAGCA